AACGCGAAGAACCUUACCUGGGCUCGAAAUGUACAGGAAUGCGGUAGAAAUAUCGCCGUCCAGCAAUGGACCUGUAUAUAGGUGCUGCAUGGCUGUCGUCAGCUCGUGUCGUGAGAUGUUGGGUUAAGUCCCGCAACGAGCGCAACCCUUAUUACCAGUUGCUACCAUUUAGUUGAGCACUCUGGUGAGACCGCCUCGGAUAACGGGGAGGAAGGCGGGGAUGACGUCAAGUCCUCAUGGCCUUUAUGUCCAGGGCUACACACGUGCUACAAUGGCCGGUACAAACCGUCGCAAACCCGUGAGGGGGAGCUAAUCGGAAAAAGCCGGCCUCAGUUCGGAUUGGAGUCUGCAACUCGACUCCAUGAAGCUGGAAUCGCUAGUAAUCGCGGAUCAGAAUGCCGCGGUGAAUACGUUCCCGGGCCUUGUA
rnacentral:rRNA from 1 species